rnacentral:rRNA from 1 species
GGAGGGUGCAAGCGUUAUCCGGAUUCACUGGGUUUAAAGGGUGCGUAGGCGGGUUGGUAAGUCCGUGGUGAAAUCUCCGAGCUUAACUCGGAAACUGCCGUGGAUACUAUCAAUCUUGAAUAUCGUGGAGGUAAGCGGAAUAUGUCAUGUAGCGGUGAAAUGCUUAGAUAUGACAUAGAACACCAAUUGCGUAGGCAGCUUACUACACGAUCAUUGACGCUGAGGCACGAAAGCGUGGGGAGCAAACAGGAUUAGAUACCCUGGUAGUCCACGCCCUAAACGAUGGAUACUCGACAUCAGCGAUACACUGUUGGUGUCUGAGCGAAAGCAUUAAGUAUCCCACCUGGGAAGUACGAUCGCAAG